AAUUUUUCAAGUAUGUAUUCAUUUUGACUAAUAAUACCUGUGAAUUUGCAGUUAUCCUCAAAAGGGUCUACUUGGGAUGAGAUAGACUUUGAGUUCUUGGGAAAUUUGAGUGGAGAUCCUUACCUUCUUCACCCCAAUGUUUUUAGCCAAGGCAAAGGAAACAGAGAGCAACAAUUCUAUUUAUGGUUCGACCCAACUGCUGAUUUCCACACCUAUUCCAUUCUUUGGAAUCCCCAACGCAUCAUGUAAGCAAGAAACUCCGUCGCAUCUUCAGCUUUGUUCUUUUUAACUUUAAUUCUAAUUUCUUUAUUAAUAAUAAACUCAUUAUCCUCUGUUUCAGCUUCUCCGUUGAUGGGACCCCAAUUAGAGAGUUCAAGAACUUGGAAUCCGCUGGAGUUCCAUUUCCAAAGAGUCAACCAAUGAGAAUGUACUCAAGUCUGUGGAAUGCAGAUGAUUGGGCCACAAGAGGUGGUCUUGUGAAGACAGAUUGGAGUCGAGCUCCCUUCACUGCUUCUUACAGAAACUUCAACGCCAAUGCUUGUAUUUGGUCUAAUGGAGCAUCUUCUUGCAAAUCUAAUUCACCUUCCGGUAGUAAUGUGUGGCUGUCACAAGAAUUAGACACAAACAGUCAAGAUAGGCUCCAGUGGGUACAAAAGAAUUACAUGAUCUAUAAUUACUGCACAGACACUAAAAGAUUUCCUCAAGGCAUCCCUCCAGAAUGCAGCAUGUCAUAGAAGGCUGAGAAGGACAUAACAUUCAAUACAAUUUUUGUUUUUCUUUUUCAACAUAUCUUGAUUCUUUUUCUUUACAUUCUUUUGUUCUAUGCAAUUAGAUAUGACAAAAUUCGUUCUAUGUAAAGCUGCUUUGAAUCUUGAUUAAUGCUAUUUGUUCAUUAUCUCCAUUGAGAUCUUCAUAUCCAGGUUGGAAUGAAGCAUAUAUGAGCAACUUAAGGACAAGAGAUUUGAAAUUCGAUAACAUGAGUCUAGCUUUUCUUCAAAUUGCAUAAUUCAGAAGUACAAGUAAAAAAUUAGGCAAGGUAGUGGCGAGAUCGCCCUCCAACUGAAAGCGAGAACUUUUGUCAAACAGCUGGUCUGCAGUUUGUUUGCAGUGUGCUCUGAAAAAUGUUAGUUUCUUUUUUGGUGUGUUCUGUUAACUAAAGACGCAUGCCGCUAAAUGGAAAUCAAUAUAGGAUGCAUAAUUUGCUCAAUUAAGAAAAUGAAUUUACAUACAGUUUUUGCACAAACAAAAGAUAAACCAAUCUGAACAGUAAUUUAAUGAAAUGUAGAGAGCCAUCAUAAUUUUCGCUUGAGAAAGUGCUAGUCUUAGGUCGUAUAUAGCUUUUAUGCUAUAUACUUAUAGCCAUCCAAUUCCAGUAAGAACAGAUCAUUUUUAUUAUACCCCCAACUUUACGGCUUAUUAUAAUUACACUCUAAAACCAACCCAACUGACAGACACUCCAGAAUCUGCAGUUCUUGCUGCACUUGGGUUGGCGGUGUUGCAUCUUCAAUCCCUUCUCUCUAGUCUAUGCUUCUCUCCUACCUUGGUUGUCCUCUGUCUUCCUCUCCCACCGCCUUUUGGCAUCUAGCAUCCAGGUCUGAGAGAGAGGGAUUUUGAGAUGAGAUCCAUGAAGGAGGGGUAGAGAAGGGAGAGAUGAAACGGUAAGGUUUCUUUUGUUCCUUUAAACAAAACUCACCGUUUCACUUAACUGGGAUGGUUAAGUGAACUCAACAAAGUCCAACGGGUCCCAGAAAUAAUAAUAUUAUAACGUCUAAUUUUGACCAAAACCAAAAUGGGGCACAAUUUUGACAAAAAUAUAAAAAUAAGGUGCCUUAAAGUUGGUUUUGGGGUGUAAUCUGUGACGAAGUGUAAAAUGGAGGGUACAAAUGAUGGUUUACCCAAGAAUAGACCGAGUGCCAUCCAAUUCCCUUGGGAUAGCUUCAGUCAAAACCUAGUACUUUAAUCUUAAGACUAAAACCCACAAGGUAUUAGGAUUUUUAAGUAAAUGCCAACCAAUCUUUAUAAAAAAAAAAAAAAAAAAAUGAAGAUGUUUUUGCAAUGGAGAUGGAGAGAAGGAUGCUUAAUUUCUUAUUGCUUACCAAAAACAACAGUACAUAACAAUAUAUGUAUAUUUGGGGCAAGGACUACUUAGUACAGGAAACUAAGAUGAACAUUUGAAAUUUGACUUAACCCCAAAAUUAAUACUUCUUCUGUUUUAUUUUGUUUGCUUGUUAUUCUUUUUUGAAAAUGUCCAAAAAUAUUUACAAGGUUUCUAAAAGCAUUUAGUACGUUAUUGCGUGUAGGUGGUUAGGGAUAUAAGGUCUUGGAUAAAAUUGAUCAGCAUCUUCCCUCAAAAUAUUAGAUAUUAUCGUUGAUUUAUCAUCAAACUCAAGUGCCCCUUGGGUUCACCCUUCGCUAUGGUUUUAUAUACUUAGACAAUUAUUUUUUUCCAUUGUAACAUAUAUGAUUGUUCAUUAAUGAAUGAUUUUUACUAAUAUCUUAAUGAGUGAAGAGUAAAAUGAUUUUUAUUGAUUAAAUUUUUAAUAUGCGUGUUUUUUGAAACCAUGCAAAUAAAAUAGGAUGGAAAAAGUACAUCAUUAAAUUUAAACCGUAUACUUUUUUUUUUUAUUUUAACCACAAGGAUCCCCGUCCAGGAAAGGACCGAGGGGCUAUGCCCCUGCAAAUUAAAAAGUUUUUAAAAUUUUUAGUGUGAAAUGUUUGGAAAAAAAUAUAUUUGAAUUUUGCUCCCUAUAAUUAGUAAAAAAUUUUUUGGUCCCCCUAACUAUUUGGGCUGAUUUUGUCAUUGUUCCGAACCCACUGGAUUAAAACUAAAUCCUACUUGCACCGAAUCGGCCCACUACAGCGAGUAUUUACUUCAUCCAUGAGAAUUAAACCUUUCGAUCUCAAUUAAGAGAGAAGAAUGCCGAACCACUCAUCCCAACGUUUAUUUGUGAUAAACCAUAUACUUUAUGCCAAGCAAAAAUAUCAACACAUAUUCCAAAACUUAGACCAUCGUACAUAAUUUAUUUUUUGCAAAGUUCAUUUGUGAAUGAUGGACUGGUUGAGCAUGAUUUUUUUUUUUUUUUCUAAUGGAAAAAUUCUCUUGUUUUAUCUUUUGGAAGAACCAAAUGGAGAUUAUUGAGGUUCGUAGAAUACAUAUUUGACAAAGCACACAGAGAAUGACCUUUUUUGCAGUACAAACAAUUUUUUUUUUCCCUUUCAUUUUCAUUGCAUAUCAGCUGAGGAAUUUUAAGAAAAAGCAGAUAAGGAGAUUUCUGAACCAACUUGGCAAUUGGCAUGACUUAUUAGUGCAUGCUUCACAAAUAUGCUGACAAUAUUUUAAUUACUUUGACAGUAAAGGAGUUUAAAAAAAAAAAAAAAAGCAAACAAGCAAAUUGUUUUUCUUUUUUUUUUUUUUUUAAAUGGUAAUCCAUUAACAAUCUUAUGUUGAGAAAUGAUCUUAAUAGAAUAAAUUAUUCUUUAUUCUUUGAGUUGUAAUUGUUUUUUUUUUUUUUAAUUUAGAGAUCAGGUUAGGCAUCAAAUUGAAAACAAUUUAAAUUGUUAAGAGAAUAUUUUGGGUUACACAGCUGAGAUAGUCCUUUUCUUUAUCGAGAGAUGUUGAAUAUGUACUUGAUAGUGGGUCAGUUUGGUUCGGUUUAAAUAUAAUAAUCAAACCAAACUUAAAGUGGUGGUUUGAAAAAAAUUAAAAUCAAAAUCAAAUCAUGAAAAAUUUCAAACCAAACCUAAUCUUCGGCGACAGUUUGAUUUGAUUUGGUUUGGUUUGACAGUUUGAAAUAAGAGAAAUUAAACUUCCUUGUUCAUCUAGUUAAUAAAUAUAUAUAUAAAAAAAAAGAUUAACAUUAUUCUAAAUAUGAAAAAUGAAUUGAUAAAAACUAUGCCAUAAAAUACACAUGAUUUUGAAUAGCUAUUAUGAGUUUUUAAAUUUAUAUAUAUACUUUGUAUAGUAUAAAAAAUAUUAUUUAUUUAGAAAGAUAAUAAUUAAGCAAUUUAUAAAUAUAGAAUUUAAAUUUGAUUUAAUUAUAUCUAUUACUAGAAAUUAUAAAAAAAUUAUAAUUUUACUCACAUAUAGUUUAUAUAUAUAUACAUGAAUGUUUAACAUUUGAAUAUUUUAUAAAAUAAUUAUACAACUUAUCUAAUCAACAAGAAAUUAUUAUUCAAUUAUUAUCCAAUAUAACAAAUCUCAUAAUUUACUAUCCAAUAUAAAGUAAUUAAUACAACAGAAAUUUUCAUUAAAAAAAUUGAAUUGUAUUGAAAAAUUCAAAAUACAUAUAUAUAAUUAUACAUGGAUGUUUCAUUUGGUUUGGGUGGUUUGAUUCCAAAAACAUAAACCAAACCAAAAGCUCGGUUUGGAUGGUUGUGACUGUAAAAUCAUAAACCAAACCAAAAGCUAGGUUUUUAAAUUUUAUAAAAUCAAAUUAAACCAUCAAUCUUUUAAUUAAAACCGCAGUUUUAAUUCGAUUUGAAUCGAUUUGGACGGUUUAGGCAGUUUGAUGAACACUCUUACGUAUGGUUGUCAGAAAAUACUUGUAAAUAAUCGGCAUGAUGGGUUCCAUAUUAUGUAUAAACAAGUCAGACCCAAAUGUUACAUGUGGCCUUAAUAUAAUUUGAGCUUUUGGUGCUUUUCACCAUAAUAUAUACUAUUUUUGUAAUUUCUGAUUCUUUUCACAUCUCUAAAGAUUUCACAUAUAAAUUUAAUAUACAAAAUUAAAGGUGGAUUUGGACGGAAAAGAGUAAAGAAAUGCAUCACUCGUGAUGCAUAAAGCUUUUGAUCAGUGGAGAUUUAUUUUAAUGACACCCCAUAAUACAUAAAGCUUCAUGAACCAGUAAAAGAAGAGAGCGAGUUGAAUAGAUGCUGAUUUUUCUGAUAGAAAGCUAAUAAAAAAACGUUUUCUUUUUUAAAAAUAUUAUUAUUUUUUCGGUGUAUAAUUAAAUAUAUUCUGGUUUGUAAUUAAUUUGGUAUAUAAAUGGGCUCAUAUCCCAUGUAAGUAAAUUUUUUUAUUAAAAUUACGGAUUCAAUGUAUAAAAAUUGAAAAUAAUGGAUAAGCAAAAAUUAAAAGAAGAUAAAAUAGCAAAUCUUUUUUUUUUUUUAUUUAGAACUAACAGGUGUAAUCCCUCUUCGGCCAUUUAAGUGUAUUUUAGAAGAAUCUAACUUAUUUUAUUGACUGAAUUACCCUUUAGUCAAUACUCAAUUAAUUGAAACUUUGGUGUAGAUAUCUAAACAAGUAAAAUUGAAAUAAAUAAUUAAAUGAUAUUUUAAUUUUCAAAAAGUGUCAUCUAAAUGGUAUAAAAAAUAAAAAAAAAACUGUCAAAUUUAACGAAACAGAUAAUGCUAACAAAAGAAAGUGACAACUACAAACGCAAAAUGAAAAUUUUGUGAGGUUGAUUAACAUCUUUAUAUCAAGAUUAUGCAGUUUAUCAAAAAUACUUAUCGCAUUUGGGUAUUUAAUUUCUCUUAAAAAAAUUAUUUAAUUUUUCUAAAUUAUAAUAAAUUAUUAAAUGGAUUGAUGAAAUACUUUUAAUUUAAUAUUUGAGUUGAAACCAUUCAACUACUUGUGUACAAAUAAUAAAAAAAGAAAAAAGUUUAUUAUUUAUUAAAUCCACGUAUCUGACAACUAUGCAUUUGGUUUUUGCACGGAUCCUUACAAAAUGAAAGAUACUAAUGCAAGAAUCGAAAGCAUCAACCAGGUGACAGCCACACGCCAACCCUGCAUUGCAUUAAUGCGAAACCGCGUCUCGUGUCGCUUAAUGUCUUUUUGGUGCGCUAUAUUUUAUUCACAGUACAACUGUCCAGCUGAUGACUAUACUGAACCUUCCCAUGCCUUUUCCUUUUCAAAUUCAAAUGGGUAUAAAUACCAUCAUCGUCUCAUCUUAUCUCCACACUUGUAACAUACCAGUUCUUUCUUUUACUCUAUACAUUGUAUACGCAGUUUCUUGCUAUCCCUUAUUUCAACAUCAAGAAAAAUUUAUCAUGGCUUCACAUAGUUCUUUAAUGCUGCUAUUGCUUCUUGGCAUCUUCUCUUCCAUGGCAGCUGCAAAUUUUUACCAAAAUUUUGACAUUACAUGGGGAGAUGGCCGAGCUAAGAUUCUCAACAAUGGAGACCUUCUUACGCUUAAACUUGACCAAGCUUCUGGUUCUGGAUUUCAAUCCAAAAAUGAGUAUUUGUUUGGACAAAUUGACAUGCAACUCAAGCUUGUCCCUGGCAACUCCGCUGGCACCGUUACUGCCUAUUAUGUAACUAUUUCUUUCUCUCUUCUUUUUUUUUUUUUUUUUUUUUUUUGCUGUAAAUUUUUAAGUAUAUAUGUAUUCAUUCUGACUAAUAAUACUUGUGAAUUUGCAGUUAUCGUCAAAAGGGUCUACUUGGGAUGAGAUAGACUUCGAGUUCUUGGGAAAUUUGAGUGGAGAUCCUUACAUUCUCCACACCAAUGUGUUUAGCCAAGGCAAAGGAAACAGAGAGCAACAAUUCUAUUUAUGGUUCGCCCCAACUGCUGAUUUCCAUACCUAUUCCAUUCUUUGGAAUCCCCAACGCAUCAUGUAAGCAAGAAACUCUGUCAAAUCUUCAGCUUUUUGUCUUUUUAUCUUCAAUUUUAAUUUCUUUACUAAUAAGACAAUCUUCCUGCUCUGUUUUCAGCUUCUCCGUUGAUGGAACCCCAAUUAGAGAGUUCAAGAACUUGGAAUCCAUUGGAGUUCCAUUUCCAAAGAAUCAACCAAUGAGAAUAUACUCUAGUCUCUGGAAUGCAGAUGAUUGGGCUACAAGAGGUGGUCUUGUGAAGACAGAUUGGACUCAAGCUCCCUUCACUGCAUCUUACAGAAACUUCAAAGCAAAUGCUUGUGUAUGGUCUAAUGGAGCGUCUUCUUGUGGCACAAAUUCUGCAUCUAACACAACUUCUUGGCUUUCCGACGAGCUUGAUUCAACAAGUCAAGAGAGGCUCAAAUGGGUGCAAAAGAAUUACAUGAUAUAUGAUUACUGCGCUGAUGAUAAGAGAUUUCCGGAAGGAUUCCCUACGGAAUGCAGCAUGUCAUAAAAGAACGACGACAUACUGUUCAAUACAAAAAAAUUUUUCUUUUCUUUUUUAAUUUUUCAACAUAUGUUGAUUCUUUCUUUUUCUUUUCCCAUUCUUUUGCUCUAUUUAAUUGGAUUUAACAAAAUUAUUUCUACUAUGAUGUUUUGUUCAAUCUUAAAGAUGUUUUGAUGAAUGCUAUCCAGGUUGGAACGAAGCAUGGAUAGCAGAGCAACUAAAUUGGGAUAAGAGAUCUGAACUUUGAGAAUAUGAAUUUGAAUUUUAAGUUGCAUAAUUUAAAAAGAUUAAACAAGAUUUUUUACUUUACAAACUCAACCUCCCUCAAUAGCCUAUUGAACCGAACCAAAUGAAUCGAUUCAACACUCUUAAUUGCAAUUAUAAACACAGUUUUUUUUUAAAAUAAAUUUAUAUUUUUAAAUUCAGAAAACGUAUACAAGGUAUUCUUGUUAUUUAUGUACUUUUUUUAAAAAAAAAUUUCAAAUCUAAUUCUUAUGACAUCAUAUAUAGGCAUGUCAAGGGUUAAGUGAUUUUGGUUAGAUUCUGGUUUAAACUAAAAUUGACUAGUGUGAAUAAAUAAUAAUAAUAGAUUAACGAUAAAUAGCAAAUUAGGUCAAAGAAGGCAUAAACAAGCGCCUAACAAUUACUUUUUUGAAAAAUAAUUAUUUAGUCCUUCAGGUUUUACAAAUUUAAUUUUCUGAUCCUUAUACUUUAUACAUUAAGUAUUUAGCCUUAAACGUUUAAUUCAUCUCAUUAAAAGGUUUUUCGUCCGAAAUUCAUAGUUUUUAUUGUUAAAAGAGUGUGAAAAGACAAAUUACCUUGGAACAGAAAGAUCAAAACCCUUCACCUGUUAAAAGAAGACUAAACAAAAUUCACAAAAGUUCAAUUUUAAGAACUGAUUUACAAAUUUUAACUAUCAAAAUAUGCUCAAAGCAGAUGUUUUUCUAAUAGUCCAAGAGAGUUGAUUUUACAAAUAAGUAAACCAUUAAAAUACUCUAAACUUUGCAUCUUAUAACAAUUGCACUUUAAAUUCAACUUAAUGCCUCAGACACUCUAAUUAUAACUUUUUAUUAUAAUUGUACCUUAAUUUGAAAUUGGUGAAAAUUAGUGAAUAAAACAUAAUAAAUAUGGGUCCCAUAACUAAAAUUUCAGUGGAUUAACCCAAGGAAUGAGUUGGUUAAACUAUAUAAUACUCCAAACUUUGGUUAUUAGAACAAUUGUACCCAAAACGAUCCUAAUCCCUUAGAUACCCUAAUUUUAACUUUUUGUCACAACUACAUCUCAAAUUCAAAUUAUGACAAAUAUAAUGCUAUAAUUGCACCUUGAUUCAAAUUAGGGUCACAUUCAAUUACAAUUUCACUCUAAAUUCAGACUUCUUAAUGGAAUAAAUCCUAGAUUACUAGAGAAGAAGUGACCAAGAAGAGAUGAGUUCGGAAUAAAGUAAAUUAUAACAAACAUAUAAUCAUAAUUACACCCUAAAUUCAAAAUUUCAUCUCAUAUUGAUAUGCAAACCAUAGUUUACUCGAGAAAAUAUAUUGUCCCACAAAAAUAAUCUUAAACCUCCAAACACAAACUGCGACUAUAGAAAUUGUGAGUCACACAUUUUACACAUUAGGUUAGUUUAAUUUGAAGAGUUGGUUAAGUGAAAUGGUGUGUUUCAUGAACCUCUUCUAUCAAGCCAUUAUGAAACGUUUUACUUUAUUCUGAACUCAUCUUCUAUUGAUUACUUCUUCUCUAUUAAUCUAGGAUUUCUAUAUAAAAAUAAGAUAAAAUUUGAAUUUAAGGUGAACUUAUAUUAAAUGUGACCCUUAGUUUGAAUUUAGGGUGCAAUUAAAACAUUAUAUUUGUCAUAAUUUGAAUUUGAGAUGCAGUUGUGACAAAAAGUUAAAAUUGAAAUAUUUAAAGAUUAUUGUCGUUUUGGAGUACAAUUGUUACCAUAACUAAAGUUUGGGGUAUUAUAUAAUUUAGCGAACUCAUUCAUUGGGUUAAGUUAACUCAAGUAUGUGUUGUGGAGCCCAUAUUUAUUAUAUUUUUUUCACUAACUUUGAUGAAUUUCAAAUUAGGGUACAAUUAUAACAAAAAGUUACAAUUGGAGUGUUGAAGAGUUAAAUUGGAUUAAGAGUGCAAUUGUUACCAGACACAAAGUUUAGAGUUUUUUUAAUGGUUUACUCUUUUGCAAAUAACCCAUAACUGAGAAUUUCUAUUUAGUUUCAGAGAUUCACAAACAAAUAAAUGACCUAGUUUUUGAAAUGUAAUUUAUUAAGUUAAAUCUCAAAAUGAAUAUUCGGGUCUUAAUUUAUAAAAGAGUUGAGCAAAAGCAUAAUAUCAAAAAAUAGCAAUAAUGAGCCACAAUUAACAAUAAUGAAUAACAGAAAUAAUAUUUGGUUCUAAUCACAUCUGUUUUAUUUGAUUUAAAUAAUAUUUUCUUUUUCAUUGAGGGCACCUUUGGUCAUUAAAAAAAUUAUCUUAUGUCCUCUAUUUUGUCUUUUUGUACUUUUUUAAUUGUAAAUAUCAUGAAUUUCAGAGGGAAGAACUCUCGAUGAGAUGGAACCCAACCUUCAGGACUAAAUAUCUAACAUAUAAAAAUAUAAAGGCAAAAUAAUUAAUUCUGUAAAUACUCAGUGACUAAAUAAUUAGUUUCCCUUACUUUUUUAUUCUUCAAAACAGUUUCCAUGAAAAAUGUUUUUAGAUUUCAUAGUUGAAAAGAAUAAUUUACUGUGGUUUACGGAAAGGUAUAAACCUUCACAGCUAACUCUGAUCAACGGCUUUCUGUCGAGCUCAGACAGUAUUUGGUUUUGCACUUUCGCACGGAUCCUUACAAAACGAUCGAAAGCAUCAGGUCAGGUGACAGUCACACACCAACUCAACGCGUUUCGCGUCACGUAAUGUCUCUUUAGUGCGCCAUAUUUUAUUCACAACUACAACUGGCCACAGCUGAUGACUAAUACACCGUCACCGGACCUUCUUCCUUCCUUUGCCUUUCCUUUUCAAAUUCAAAUGGGUAUAAAUACCAACAUCAACUCAGCCUAUCUCCUCACUAAAAAAUCCUUUCUUUUACUCUAUACGUAGUUUCUAGCAAUCCUUGAGUUACCUAUCGAGAAAAAUUCAUCAUGGCUUCACAUAAUUCUUUAAUUCUGGUAAUGCUUCUCGGCAUCUUCUCUUCCAUGGCAACUGCAAAUUUCUACCAAAAUUUUGACAUUACAUGGGGAGAUGGCCGUGCUAAGAUUCUCAACAAUGGAGACCUUCUUACGCUUAACCUUGACCAAGCUUCUGGUUCUGGAUUUCAAUCCAAAAAUGAGUACUUAUUUGGACAAAUUGACAUGCAACUCAAGCUUGUCCCCGGCAACUCCGCCGGCACCGUCACUGCCUAUUAUGUAUGUACUUACUCUCUCUCUCUCUCUCUCUUUUUUCUGCAACUUUUCAAGUUUGUAUUCGUUUUGACUAAUAAUACCUGUGAAUUUGCAGCUAUCCUCAAAAGGGUCUACUUGGGAUGAGAUAGACUUUGAGUUCUUGGGAAAUUUGAGUGGAGAUCCUUACAUUCUUCACACCAAUGUGUUUAGCCAAGGCAAAGGAAACAGAGAGCAACAAUUCUAUUUAUGGUUUGACCCAACUGCUGAUUUCCACACCUAUUCCAUUCUUUGGAAUCCCCAACGCAUCAUGUAAGCAAGAAACUCCGUCGCAUCUUCAGCUUUGUUCUUUUUAACUUUAAUUCUAAUUUCUUUAUUAAUAAUAAACUCAUUAUCCUCUGUUUCAGCUUCUCCGUUGAUGGGACUCCAAUUAGAGAGUUCAAGAACUUGGAAUCCGCUGGAGUUCCAUUUCCAAAGAGUCAACCAAU
rnacentral:lncRNA from 1 species